UCUACUGCCAAACCCUGGCGGUUCUGGGUAUGGUUUUAUUAAGUAAGGUACUACUGUGUGCCUUAGAAAAUACCCAUAAGAUAAAUAAUAAGAACCAUAAUAAUGAUAGCUAAAAUUUUUUUUUUUUUUUUUUAGCAGUGGGUAGCAAAGCAAAGUUUAUUGAGUGAUAGAACUGACAUAUAUUACAAACCUCCCAAGAGAGAGGGGCCCCAACAAAGUUGCCCUAAAUAAUUUCUAUGAAGCUUGGCACUUUACAAGCAUCAAUUUAAUUAAUCCUCACAACAACUUAAAGUGAUAUAUCAUAAUCCUCUCUACCUUAUAGAUAAGAAAACUGGGGCUAAGGAUAACUUGCCCAUGGUCAAAGAGUUCUAGGGCUUCUUCAUUGACGUUGGUGUUGUUUGUCAUUUGAACAGGUAACAGCCAAGGAGUAAGCAUCUGAGCCCAAGAUACAGGUCUUGCUUUAUGUAAGAUGUGUCUCUUAGAGCCACAGCCUGGACACACGAGGACAGACACCACAGCCCAUACCCACUCUGACAGAACCCUGGCCUGCAUGCUAGCAUCUAAGGAGAGCCAUCACAGUGGGCACUGGGAGUAUUUUCGGAGGCUGUUUUUACUCUGGGACAGCCAGCAAAAACUUGACUAUACACCACAAUUGACUGCAAACCAUGUAAGUAUAUCCCAC
rnacentral:lncRNA from 1 species